AUUGAACGCUGGCGGCAGGCUUAACACAUGCAAGUCGAGCGAGCGGCGGACGGGUGAGUAAUGUCUGGGAAACUGCCUGAUGGAGGGGGAUAACUACUGGAAACGGUAGCUAAUACCGCAUACCAUCAGAUGUGCCCAGAUGGGAUUAGCUAGUAGUUGGGGUAAUGGCUCACCUAGGCGCCGAUCCCUAGCUGGUCUGAGAGGAUGACCGGCAACACUGGAACUGAGCAAGGGUCGAGACUCCUACGAGAGGCAGAAGUGGGGAAUAUUGCACAAGGGGCGCAAGCCUGAUGCAGCCAGGCCGAGUGUGUGAAGAAGGCCUUCGGGUUGUAAAGCACUGUCAGCGAGGAGGCGUUACUCGCAGAAGAAGCACCGGCUAACUCCGUGCCAGCAGCAGCGGUAAUUC
rnacentral:rRNA from 1 species